rnacentral:rRNA from 1 species
UACAGAGGUCCCAAGCGUUGUUCGGAUUUACUGGGCGUAAAGGGUGCGUAGGCGGUUGGGUAAGUCUGACGUGAAAUCUCCGGGCCUAACCCGGAAACUGCGUUGGAUACUACCUGACUAGAGGAAUGGAGGGGAGACUGGAAUACUUGGUGUAGCAGUGAAAUGCGUAGAUAUCAAGUGGAACACCAGUGGCGAAGGCGAGUCUCUGGACAUCUCCUGACGCUGAGGCACGAAAGCCAGGGGAGCAAACGGG